rnacentral:rRNA from 1 species
AUUGAACGCUGGCGGCAGGCCUAACACAUGCAAGUCGAACGAGUGGCGGACGGGUGAGUAAUGACUGGGAAACUGCCUGAUGGAGGGGGAUAACUACUGGAAACGGUAGCUACUACCGCAUACCAUCGGAUGUGCCCAGAUGGGAUUAGCUAGUAGGUGGGGUAAAGGCUCACCUAGGCGACGAUCCCUAGCUGGUCUGAGAGGAUGACCAGUCACACUGGAACGGAGAGACGCGCCAGAAUCAUACGGUAGGAAGCAGUGGGGAAGAUUGCACAAUGGGCGAAAGCCUGAUGCAGCCAUGCCGCGUGUAUGAAGAAGGCCUUCGGGUUGUAAAGUACUUUCAGCGGGGAGGCGUUACCCGCAGAAGAAGCACCGGCUAACUCCGGGUCAGAAGCCGCGGUAAUUG